rnacentral:tRNA from 1 species
GGGGAGAUGCCCGAGCGGCCAAAGGGAACAGACUGUAAAUCUGUCGGGCUCCGCCCUACGAUGGUUCGAAUCCAUCUCUCCCCACCA